UCGCGGCGCAACGCGUGGGGCAACCUCUCGUACGCCGACCUCAUCACCCGCGCCAUCGAGAGCUCCCCCGAGAAGCGGCUCACCCUCUCGCAGAUCUACGACUGGAUGGUGCGCUGCGUGCCCUACUUCAAGGACAAGGGCGACAACAACAGCUCGGCCGGAUGGAAGUUGUAGGGACCUUGUGACUCGUGAUAGAAUUAAGCAGAGUUGCUCUUGUGCAGUGCCAGCCCGAAGCUCGCGUGCAAAUCGGCUUGCGUUUUCCUCUGAAAAAGCCCUGGUGCUCUCCCGUUCCUGAAGGUGGUGGAGGGAAGCCCAAGGCUGUUUCUUCGUAUGGAGCUGACAGGGCUGUGAGAGUGAUGGCUUGGUGCUGCCAAGCAGUAUGCCCCCCACACAUCUCCAUCUGUUGUGUCCAUUGGGGUGAUACCAGCCCACAGCGUGGCAGGCUGCACUGAGGUCACUGUCGUGUUGCUGACCAACCCAGAAUGGCAGAGUGAGGCCCUGCUCCCAUGCAGCCCAGCAAAGCCUACCUGCUGUGAGUGGGGUGUGAGGUGAGUACUCCCUGACCCCCUGCUUUGGGCCUGUUUCCCAUGGCCGUCUGUCGGCCCCGUGGGGCUGAUGUGCAACCAUACAGGUAUAGGGAUAAUCCAAAAUGUUGCUGGGGUGUACAGGGGAUCACAGCUGCCGCUGAGGGACGGGACUGUUGAGGGUGAGUGUGCAGGAAGUCUCCUUGCGCUGCACAGAGGUUUGGUUUCUACUUUGAAUCUCUCUGUCUUGCAUCAGGGGUAACUUCUGCACGAACCAGUCAGGAAUGCUGCAGAUUGAAGCAACUCUGGCUGCGUUGUUGGUGGCUCUGCCUCACCCCAUAGUUCUGGAGUAGGACUGACUUGCAGCUAGGCUCCAAGCGGAGUGCUAUGGGGGGAGCAUUGAGAUGCUGUACCUCAGGCUCAGGAAGACAGGAGCACAAAGUUUAUCGGGGCAUAGCUAAUGCAUGGCUCUGAAACCCACGGAUUUUGUGGUGUUGGGGCUGAGCUAGGCACUGGGUGUUGUGUGACGGUGAGCAUGGAGUGUGGCAAAGGGUUAAAUCUCACGGUGCCAGUGUGGCCUUCCCCAGUUGGUAUUGCACACCAAGCCGAGGCUCUCGCUGCCAGCUGCUGUUGGAAACACUGCUCCUUUAUCAGCUGUGUUGAAUUUUCAGUGAACUCCGUGUUGCUGCUCUGAAGGACGGACAGCAGGGCUGUGCUGCUUGGGCUGAACGCGGUGGCAGAGCUCCCGUUGCCUCAGCAGCAGAACCUGGGCCAUAGAGCCAAGUGUUUGCAAUGAUCAGCAUGCUUAAUACAGUCACAAUUUUUUCUGACAACUUAUCCUGUUAAUUUGAUAUUGAUUCCUUUCCUGAGCAGCAUUAGCUGGGAGCUAAUUACAGUGUUAAAAACUUGGAUCCCUUGGGAUUUAUCUCAUAUGAUUUAGCUCAGAAGUCCCUCUGCAGCCUUUAGGAUGACCUUUAUCAGCGCAGAAGCACGUCGGUGCAGGACAUCCCUCCCCCUUCAGAGGCCAUCUGUGGAGCUGGGCUGCGCUUAGACAGUGAGAUGUGGGGUGAAGGGAGGCCAGUAGCUGACCAUGGGCUGCCGAGCAGGGCAGGAGCCACUUCAGUCCCUGCAUGUGUGUUGGGAAGAGGGAUAUUUCAGCUGCCUGGAAAGUAAAUGAGUUUGUGCAGAGGCACUGCUCUUAAAUAGAGACUCCAUCUUAGCCUCCCAAUGCUCAAACACAUUAUAUGUUAUUAUGUCUGUUUCCCUCUCAGGGAAUGAACACAACUCUUUGGGAGCUAAUGUCAGCAUCUCACACCAGACUUUUUUUUUUUUUCUUCAGGUUUUAACCUGAGAUUUUAAGUGAACAGAAAAUAACUCUGCAUCAGAAGGAUUUUAUCUUAAUUUCACACAACCAGGUUAUCUUGGAAGGCUGCAAGCGCAUUUAACAAUAUUCUUCUCCAGCCUUGAGAAGGAAAAGUGUCAUUUUAAACAAAGAGAAGAGGAUACCUUGUUUUGUUAUCCUGGGUAUUAUUAUACAUGAAAUUCUAGUGCUAUUCCCAGUGAGAUGUGGUGAAGACCAUAAUCCGUACGCAUAGCUGGGAUUACACUCCUCAAAACAAUUAUUUUAAGAGCUAUAAAUUAAAGUUGCGACUAUCGUUCGACUAGACAUUAUUAUUAUUAUUUUUGCCUGGGGCAUUAAAGCAGAAGCGAAUGUUUCAGAUGUGGUUAGGAAGGCAUAUAUUAUGCUUCCGCUAACUCUGAUAAGGCUCGCCCCGUGCACGCAGCUCCAGCCUGCCCCAGUGCCAGCAGGAUGCCAGCCUGCAGCUGUUGCCCCACACUACUGUCAGCCCGGCCCGGCGGACGGCCAGGGAGGGGUUAGGUGUAUGCUCCCAUAUCUGCUGACUGCCUGGGAUUGCUGUGGGGAGUCAGCGUUUAAAUUUCUUAUCGCUGGAGCUGGGGGAAAGGUGUCAGCUGGCUGUGCGGCGUAGGAUGAGUAUUGCAUGCGCCUCCACGCAGUUCCUCGAUGGCUUGUCUGUCUGUGCUCCUGAAUUCAGGCAUCUGUUACCCUAUCUGCAGCCUGCAAUUGCAGAACUUCUGUGCUGACUUGCUGCGUGCUAAAUACUUGGAAAAACAAUGUUUCAGCUUGCUUUCCUCAAUAAUCCUGAAGUAGAAAACCAAAGCAGCGCUGUCUGCAUAGCAGAGGUGCCUGGUUUCACUGCAGCGUGUUGAAGCGUUCCCGUAUCGUUUCCAAUAACGCUGUUUUGUAAUUUCUCGCAGCACUCUCUGGUGAAACACAGCCUUUUCUGCAGGAAGAGUACACUAGGGGGACUGCUCUCCUCUCUACUGAGCUGUAUCGCAGGGCUCAGUGAAUGGGUCCCUCAUAUGCAGGUACCAGUAACUCCCAAAUCUUGGUACAACCAACUUACUUAGGUUUGGUGUUAUACCAGAAGCCUGUUUGUUUUACACCUGUUUCACUUGUUUUUAUGCUGCUGCAUCUUCUUCAUGAAGGAUAAAUACUAACUGCUGGCUUAUUUACUUUGACGGGUAGAUUUUUGGAGACUUUGUAUGCAAACACUGCCUCUUUCAUUACCUUGUUUUAUUGACAGAUGUGUACUGAAGCACUGCAAUUCCUCCAGUGCAGCAAACGCACAGGUAUUUUCUCUGAUUAUUGAGAAAUUAAGCAGUGAUGCAGGCACAUGCCUAAAUCUGUUAGCCAGAUGCUGAUAUGAAGAUGUGUGGGACGUUCUUUAUCAUUUUUUUGCAAAGGAUGUGGGAAGGAAGCAACGCUGCUCUCUGUUCUUCUUAUUUCUCCCUCCUCAGAAUAGCAAAUUGCUGUGUUAUCAGGAGCAGUAGUGUAAAACUGGAAUUUGCAUCAGCUUUGUUUUUCUGGUGCUUUUUUGUUAAAAACAAAACCAUGUUUCCCAGUAAAUUGCUAGCAUGAGUAUUUUUUUUCCAUCCUUCUAUUAUGUUUUUACUUUUUUUUUCCCCCCCCUAAUUUUGAGCUGCCUUAUUUGUCCAUGCAGAAGGGCUUAGGUUGCAAAUAGUAGUCUGAUUAUUUCAAGUUUUGAUCUAGUGAAGCAGCCAUGGGUUUAAGCAUGUGGAGAGUUCCUUGGGACUUUGCUGGGAUUACUCGUGUCCUUAAACUUAUUGCAUAAGCACCUUACCUGAUCAAAGCCUUAUGCUUGUACUUUAACAAAAUGCUCAGUAACGUUUGUAAGUGAAUUUCAUGCUGAGCGAAACAGAUGCAGAAUCCCAGCUCCAAAAUCUGAAAUGCUAGGUAACAAGCUGCUUGCAUAGAAGAGGAGUGUAGUUUAGCAUCAAAGUAAUAAAUGGCUUUUUGAACUUUCCUGUAGAAGUUGUGUGUACGUAUUAGUGCAUGUUAUUAUUUUAUAUGGGAAGCAUAUAUCAAAAUCUCAUUUUUUCCCCUGCUUGUGCAGGUAGGAAACUUCUGUGAGAAGCUCUCCUCUGAGAGGCAGCCUCCGAGAGGCAGUGAUGUUCCCUCCCUGCAGUGCCUCAGUGAGGAGCACUUCUGCUUAAGGACUUGAAAAAUGCAGAUAUGAGCACAUUGCCUUGGUGACCUUCAUCAGCUGUAGGUAGAGUCACAAGUUCUGAUAAACUUAGAUUAGGGAAUCUCCAGUGAAUCUGCAAGGUAGCAUCACGACCAGAUAGGCUUGCUUGGGAAGUGCUGGAAUUGGUGCUCCUCAGCUCUUCAAAAACAACAGGCUACCUGAAAUGGUCAUGCAAGAAGGGACUACCGGGAACAAGGGGUGUCUCAGGAUAAGCAGACAAGUAAUUUCUGUAGGUGGCAGCCUCCUAAAGGUGCCCUGCAAGGUUUGAGCAGCCAGCUGCUUCUGUGGUGGCACUGAAAGUCUUUGUGAGGUUUGCUUUGUGCUUGCAAUGCAAUUACAGUGGGUUGUUGUAUGGUGGCGUCUUGCCAGGGGAGAAACCAAAAGUGGUCCCAAAUGCAAGCUGCUGCUCAGACUAAAACACUGCAUGUUCUCUUUUCUCUCCCACUUUCGGAAAAGCUUUCCUGCUAUCUCUGUCACAGAAAAAGUGCCCCAGGGCAAGGCUGUAAAAUAGUAGCUGUACAUUACUUUUAAAGGUGUACAGCCCUCAAGGUUUUAAGGCUUGAUCUCCCCGCAGGAGGGUGAGCUCCAAGCACCCAAAUGCUGCCAUUCCCAAGCUCACGUGGGAAAGGAGCCCUGGCAGCACUGACUGGGGUCAUGUCCUGCAGAGAGCGUGGAGCUUGCCGGUAGCACGGCGCCGAAGGAGCUGCUGCUUUUUUGAUGUGGCUUUUCUUGGGGAUGGCAACAUGUGCACAGCGCAGUGGUUCAGUAGAAAAAAUAAAAUGUUGAAGUAAUAUGCACCAUCAUUUGGUUUUCAGUAGUGCUGACUCAGCACAUUGUGAGUUAAGUGAGGAUUAAGCUUAACCUUUUAUUCAUUCUUUUUUUUCUACUUCUACAAACUUGGACUGUUCUUUACUACAAUUUCCUGAGCAUUGCCACACACUAAGCUUGGAAAAUGAGGUGCAUUUAACCAAUUUAUGACCUGACAUAUGUUAAUUAACAUUAAUUACCUGCUUGAAUAGUCCAUUUAGCACUUAUUAUUAAAAAGUGGCUUGUCUACAGAAGGGGGAUUUUCCUUCAGAGUGAGAUGUUUUGUUCUGACUUGCUUCAGACAAAACCAGGAUGGGUUAUCCCAUGCUUCUUUGCAUGGCCGUGCCAGCUUUCUUGUGCUUCAGUUGCGCAUGAUGGGAUACCAUUGCAACGCUGACAGUCCCAAACUCCUCAGCCAUGUGUAUGUGACAUUUAUUUGACACUGGCUUAGCUUUUCAAGCAAGUCAGCAUGUUUCAAAGUGUUUUUUCCUAGCAGUAGGUUCAGCCCUUGCUUCUCCAGUUGAGGGAGAUGAAGGAAGAGCUCUGCUUCUCAGCUUGCCAAAACCCAACUAUGUGUGCUGCUGUAGACCUGAUAGGCCAUCAGAGCAUCAACAUUGAGGAAUAUCACUGCACAUGAGCUUACCUGGAGAAGCAGGAGGAACUUGCUGCAGUGCUGUGUCUGUGAGCCCCAGGGUGGACCAGUUGUCUCUUCAGAAACUGUCAGGUGUGGACAGUUUUCUGGAGGUCUGGAUCACAAGAAGGGAAAGUGUAGAUCAGUCUAAGUCUUUGGGAGGGUGUGCAGAAGGCUUGAGUCAGGGAGUGGUUCAAUGGCUGCUGACAGAGAUCCAGAAAUCCUGGAGGUGGCCUUACAUGGGAAUUGCAACAAGUGCCUUAACAAGGACACCUUGAGUGUUGUCUUGAAGCAAAGAACGUUAUGUUCCAGUGAACGACUCUUUCUAAGCACUUGAACACUAGAACAAGAGUACAAACUGUAGGAAGUUAAACAACAGGAUGAGAGGUUUCAUUUUUGUUCCACAAAACUAGGGAUUUUCCUUUCUGUGGCCAUGCAGAAACCUGGAGGACUGCAGUGAUGUGGUCCCAGCCCAAUGUUUAGGAAGAGCUCAGCUCUGUGAGGCUGUGGUGGGAGUUGGGGCUGGCCUGCAGGGAGGGCUCCUUCAACUUUGUAUGUUGGGCCUACCUCUACGUUCUUACAGCCAUUGACAGCUGGCUGCCACUGGAGUGGAGCAUGGCCUUGAGCAACAGUGGGUGAAGUCUUCUCAAUCAGUUACCUUGUCUUCUGUGCAACUUCUUGGGCAGAAGUUGUCACAGGAUGGGGUUGGAUGUGAUAGGGCUGCAGGAUGGCCAUUUCAGGGCAUCGUCAGGAGUUGAGAAGAAGCAGAGAAAUGAGUGAUCGUGUUAGUGCUCUGCCCUAACCGUCUGGUGAUGUGUGAGGGAGCUGAUUGGAGGAGAAAAAUACUGUCAUGCUGCCAUUGUUUUUCACCAUGAGGGUGCCCCUGAUAUUGGGCCUUGAGGUGAGGUUUGGGAGGAGCUGGUCUUGCCAUGCAAAGCCAGAGUUCUUUCUCUGGGCUAUACCCUAGCACAUUUGCCCUGCUUGUAGCGCUGCUCUGCAGACUUGGAGGCAGGUCAGGAAUUAACAGUGCUGAUGUCUCAUUGGUAAUGCUGCCUGGACUUUGCUUAUUGGUGCAAUUUUCUUAAUCUGUUCACUAGAGCUGAUUUAAAAAUAAAGGCUAUUUAAAGAUUUCUACUGAAAUAAGAUGCCUUUGUACAGUUUCACUGGUUUUAAAAAAAAAAAAGCCUUUCUGGAGAUUUGUACUGAUAGAUGUGAAGAUGGGUUCUUAUAACAGACUUGCAGUAACGAAUGGAAUUAAUUACUUGCUUGAUCAAAACAUGUAAUGUACUUGCGAGCUGAAUUAUGAAAUGUGUUCUCACUUGAAUGCAUUCAUUUGCCAAGGUAUUCUUUUCUUUUUUUCCCCACUUGUGUUUCAUUUAAUUUCUCCCUUGCUGGUGGGGCUGGUGCUUGGUGUGUGUGAUGGGAGUGUGAGGGAGGCACUGGAGGAUGGCUGGAGGCAAUGAAGGUGAGGUGGAUGGCAGGCAGCACCUAAGGCUUGUGUUGAUGCCCCUGCAGCCCAUGCCAUCCUGGACAGCAUUGAAUUGCAGUCAGAAAGCUGCUGGUGAGGGUGUGAAGCUCUCAUCAGUGCCAUCAUCCCAGGCUGUGACACACCCUGGGGCUGGUGGGCAUGUUUCAGUGGGGUGAAUCACGGAGUCAUGCCUCUGUGUGUCCCUGUAGCCCCUGCCCAGGUGGAGGGUGGGUCUUUGCUGAGGUCUGCUGGCAAAACCCUGCUGGAAGCUUUUGAAUCACGAGGGGAGGGAGGAGAGUUGCCCAAGGUGUGGGUUUUGUCUGCUGGCACUACUGAAGCUACCUUCAUCCUUUAUACUUUGUGUUUCGCUUGCUCACACCCUGGCCUUGUGGCACUUUGGGCAGGCCUGCAUCCUGGGUUUUUUUCAGGCCUCCAGCUCUGUCUGUGUCUAUGGAGAUGUCUGGGGUUGUGACCAACAGAUGUGUGCAGCACAAUCCGAGGGGAAAAAAGUUUUUGGUUGGUUUGCUGGUUCCCCAGCCACAUGACCAGCCAAAGAGCAGAGAACUGGGCUGGGUGCCAAUAUGUCAACAGGGAGGUGGCAUCUGCUUAUCGUGGCCCCAGAGGGGUGGGAGGCCAUCAGAUAAACAAGGAGGCUGGGAGGACAGGGUUCAGCCUGCUGUGGGAGAGCAGGUAGAGGUGCACCACAACAUGGGCAUGCACGUGUCUCAGAGCAGAGCAGAGCAGUUCAUAGAGGGGACGCGAAUCAUUUUGCAUGGGUGCAGCCUGGUUUGUGACAGUGCAUAGGGGCAGAUGAAAGCAGGGCCUGAUUCUUGUCCCUGCGGAAUGCCACAUCAGAGCGGCAUGAUGGGGUUUUCCAAGCAGGGCUCCCCUGCAGUGCCUGCAUAUAUUUCAUCAGUGUCAGUAAGAAUGGAGCCAGUAGUGCUUAUAGCCCUGGCUGCAGUUGGACCUGGGCUCCCCCUGAGCACUGUGCAAGGCCAGGCAGUGUUAGUAACAAUGUUGCUUGCACUUAAGUAAACAGAGUUCUGUUUAUAAGCAUUUUCAUUACCUGGUAAUAUUCUAAUACAGAGCACUUUCCUGUUCUAAAGAGCCAGCAAUGGAAUUGUUAAGACUAUUUGUUGAUGUAAGUUAGUGCUUUCUGAUUUUUUUUUUUCCUGUAAUAGGCUGAAGAAGAAUAAAAAAACAUUAAAUAAAUAAUUUUAAGACACGACCCUACAGCGUCAUAUUUACUUUGUCAAGUCUAGAGUAUGGACUAAGUCUAAAAUAUGGGGAUUGGAAGUACUUUGAAGUCUCUUCCAACCAAAGCUACUUUAUGACCAAAUUAUCUUGGUACAUGUCGGCACCCUUAAAACCUUCUGUAUUUGUUUCCAUGCUGGCUCUUCAGACAGAUAUUUCAGCUUUCCAAAGAUGGGUUACAACCAAAGGUAGCCCCACCUUCUCACAUAAAAUCUAUAAUGUAAACAUACCUUAAAAUGUGGGACUGAAUCUAAAUCAAAACUGUGUGACUCUGUGGGUAUUGGUAAAGUAAGGCAGUGAAGACUAUCUUGGGCAAAUACAUUUGCUCGUACUUCAUGGAUGAUUUAUCGGUUUCGUAUAUGAAGUUCUAGAUAUGCUUAGUACAUAAAAUUGGCUUCUGAUAAGCGAGAACACUGCUAAACAAAGAGUGUCUUUGUGUGAGGCUUUCACAGACUCUCCUGUUAUCACCUUUUUUUGCUGAUUGGUUUUGCUCUGAGAACAGUGAUGUGGUUUCCUGAAAGCCUGUAACUUAUUAUUUGCUCUUCAAAACCCUGGGCCUUAGCAAAUGUUCAGAUAAUGUUUUUUCCAGGAAUUUGUAGGAGUUGGUGAUGCCAGUUCAAGUCAUGUCCUGAGAUGCAGUGUAAGCUGAGACUUGUGAAGUCGGUGUCCUUGUUUUGUGCAACAUGAUCUGUUAGGUUUAAAAGCUUCACUGUACGAGAGAACUCAAAACUGUUUGUCUGCUAUGUCAGGUUUCAGAGCGAAUGGUGGUUCUUUAAGUAUUCAUCAUGUCCUGUGGAAGGAGGUGGCUGUUUGUGCAAUGCCUUUGGAGGAGAAUAGCCUUGACGCCAAGAGUGAUGCUGCCACUAAGAUGUAAAAGAUCUUGAGCGUUUUGGGAAUCUUGUGCAAGCUGCUUCUACUUUUGCACAGCCUGAACCAUAUAUGUGACCCAGAUAAGUAGACCGCAUUUAAAAUCUUAGAUUUGAAAAUGGAAAUGGUGUCAGAGCUCUGAAUGGUUUGGGCCAGAGGUAUCCAGCCUCGUUUGUCUAGCAGCUGAAACCUCCAAACCCAGUGCUAUUAUUUCCAUCAUUAUGGUGACUGUGUGAUUCUCAGCUUCCCCAAGCUGAUUUAUUUCUUGCCCCGCUACUCCUACAACCUAGUUCCUGCAUGGUGAAAAUAUUUCUGAUUGAAACGUACAAGGAGGUUUGCACACUUGAGGUAGGAGAAAAAUCUCUUAUGAAGAGCUGUUUUUCAGAAGGCUUCUGGAAAGGGAAUUGCGUGCUUACGAAGAUAUUUGGAAAUGAAUAGCGAGGCCAUUUUACAUUGAAAAAGAGAACAAAAGCAUUUGGGCCAUGAGGUAGUGGCACAGGGGGCUUGGAGGAGUGCACUGCUUGCACUGAGAGCUAGCAGUGGGAAGUAAAUCAACGUGACGUGUGUUUGUCGGCAUCUGAUGUGUACCAGGCCUGGUGGGGUAGCUUGGAGCAGGUGGAGGAAGCAUACUGUUUACCUAAUUAGAAACAUAAAUAAAAUCUUUCCAACAUUUUUCUAAAUUAAAAUUCACUGGAAACAUAUGUCAGACUUCUCACAUCCAGGAAAGCUCUCUUGCACCCACCAUUCCCUGGGGAGAUCCUUGCAGCCCACCUUCCCAAGGCUCCUCUGGGCAGCAGCCCUUCUAUCCGGAGGCUGACAGCAGCAGCCUGCAGGAAGAGGUGGCUGUGCUCUGGGGUGAUAGAGCUGGGAAGCCAUGGGUCAAGGUGGUGGCUGGGGUCGAUGAGGAUAGGAUUUCAGCCAGGUGUGUUUGCUGAGAAGUAAUGAUGGUGGGGGAUCGUGGUAAGGGCAGCUCUGUGAGGCCAGUGUGUUUUGGGCACUGAGGAGGCAAAGGUGAUGCUAAUUGCAGGAGAGACUGCUUAACCGCUUUGCAUUAUGUUUGAAAAGAAUGGGGAAUAAUGCUGUUCGAAUGACCUAUUUUGACUUUCUCAGUGUAAUAUGGUUAAUGUUGUUGACUUUUCUGGACAGUGAAUUACCAUUUUAUCAAACCCUGCUGGAAAUAACUGUGUUGCUGGGUGAGAUAUUUCAGCCACACAGUCUGAACUGAGGAGUUACCUCUUGCCGCUUCACUCGAUGGCGGGAGUUUUUUUCUAUUUCGUCUGGAAACGUCUUUUGCUAUGCAGCACGAUGACAGCAGGUUUUUAAUACAAAAUAGGGACCUGUCAGGAAGAAUAUAAAAUGGGACACUGAAGAAGUCUAAUUUAGAAGCAGAAAGGGCAUAAAUCUCCACCUCUUUCUGGAGACAGAAAGCCAAAGUACAGAAGUGUUUCCUUGCUCGUAAAAUUCAGUCCUGAUUGCAGGAAGAAGUCGUCUUAAAUACAUGACUCUACCUAAUCUUGUUGCAAGUUUUUCCACAUUAUUUCCAAUACAGAGCUGGAUGUUACAUAAGGGGAUUCUUGGAUGACGAAGUGCCUCUGUUAGGAUAUGCUCUGCUUAUUGUGUAGUUACUGAAAUUGUUUGCUGUUUUGGACCAGUGUCAGGCAGAAUAGUACUGAAUAAGUCCCAGAUGAAUGUGGGUGGUGAAAGGAGAAAAAUAACUUGAAAUAAAGAGGGGUAUUAUCAACUGAACAGCCAGUGUUGAUCCUAUGGUGCUGAAAAAUGAAAGCAGGAAAAAAAAAGUAGUCGAUAUUUUUUCCCUUUUUUCCUUUUCUUUCCAUCUUCUUUUUCUUCUUUUUUUCUUCCUUUAAAAAGGAAAAUCUUAGCUGAAGGAUUUGUUCUGACAAGAGUUUGGCACACUUCUUAAACUCACAGUAAUUUGGAAUUGGCACAACAGUGCUGCAGAGUAUUCAGAUAAGUGCAGACAAGCCUCCAAAACGUGUGUGUGUCGUCAGAUUCUUUGCCCAUUUUGGACAGCAUGAGCUGUAGUGUCACUUGCAGGUGCUGGAUCCAAGAGUGUAUGUAGUGAAAAGAGCAUUGUUUUGGCCAGGAGAAAUGUUCACUUUGGGUUUUUCCAACAUCUGGAUCAGAAUUUAACCAUGGGAAGAUCUACUCAUGUGUCUUUUUUUUUUUUUUAUUGAGACUCAUACUAAGCUUGUAAUAUGACUGUUCUCUAGUUAAAGGAAAGAGGAAAAAAAAAAAAAGUAUCAAAUUGAGAAAUGAUGUGGAUUUGGUGUACUCUCAGCCUGAAGGAAGAAUGGUUUACUUGAGCACUAUGAUAACAAUUGCUGGAGAAAUUAAGUGUGGAUUUCCUUCUAUUGUAGUUGAAUCAUGACCUCUUACUAAAUUUAUCCAGUCUUGAGUGCCUGGUUUCUGGUUUGACAUUUUCAUUUGGAUGACAGUUGCUUUCUUAGAGCUCUGCAAGGGCUGAGAGAUGAUGGCUUCCUUAUUUUCUGUGGGAAAUGCUCACAAGUCACCAAGCACCCCUUGUAGGGACGGACGUGGUUGAGCCUGCAGUUUUCUCCCUGGCAGCAACAUGAUACGGCAGGUGGGUGCCAGUAGCAGCAGUCACACGCCUUCCCCAUUUUCCAGGAGCAGAGAGGGGAACAAGAAAGUCAGAUUUAAGGUAGCUUGAAUAGCUGGGGUAUUUCUGUGGAUACUCCAAGAUUGCACAGGUACCCCUGUGGCUUGUUCUGACCACUCAGUGAAGUGCUCCACCGAAGUGCUAAAUGACAGUAUACUUCAUUUAUGCCAAAGUCUGCACCAAUAAUGCUUAAUUGUAAAAGCCAAUGCUCAGAAGUUGAAAAUGUCAGUUGCUCCUCUCACUUGAAAUGUCCUCUCUUGUUCCCUCUGACACCAUCGUUAGCAACACACUGUCUUCCCCCAGCUUCAAGAUGGGCUGCAUGCUUCAGGGGGUGUCAGGGUUGCAGUUCAUCCCCAAUGCUUUCUGUAUGGGCCCUGCUCCAUGCUUGUUGCUCAGCUCUCAGUAAGGAAAUAUGUCCUCUCAUGCCUGCCGCUCUGUGUCAUCCCCUGUGCUCCUAGCUAGCGCCAGCCCUGCAGCCUCCUCUCUCCUCCCCACCCUUCUAUGCCAAUCUUCUUACUUGCUCUUCCCAUCCCUGCUCCGUACAUCCCUCUUUUCCUGUCAUCUCUUGCCUCCCUGCCUUCCAGAUCAGCUCUCUUUGUCCAGCUGGCCAAGUUUUUUGUCCAGUUCCUGGUUCCAUGCUUCUCCCCUGUCCCAGGACUUCAGUGUCUUGCCUAUCCCAGGCUGCUUGCCCUAUUUCCAGUCAUACUUUCAGUUCAGGUUUGCAAGGCUAUUAGCAACUGGGAACAGGGUUUUAUAAUAGGAAGUGUUGGACAAUGCAAGGUGUAGGUGGGGCUCACAGCACCACCUAUAAUUUACAACUUUGUAUAUUUUUUUUAAGCUAAUCCAGCCUUGAGUAAGCAAUGCUGGUGCUGUCAGUGUGCAAAUCCUUAGUCAUUCAGGUAGUGUUAUUCACUCUGCUGAUACUGUGUAAAUAGGGAUUGCUCAUUGGUGUACGUGAUGAUCCAGCCUUAGGGAGAUUCGCAUCUCCGCUGUGGUGCGGCCUGAAUGAGACACCUAACAGUGUCUGAGAUGGUGCAUUUCAGGGCUCUGCUGAGCAGUCCUUAAAAUGCUUGCUGUUUUGGGCAGAAAAUUGUGAGAUUUUAUUGGGAGAGACUUGAGGGUUGUUUUCCAUCUGUAUGACUGGGUUGUGGUUGUGGGCUGAGAGCACUCUGGCUCCUCUCUGACCUUCCUGCACUAGGAUAGGCAGCCACAAGGUCAUAAUAAGCUCAUCACCCAUUUUAUCAGCUACCCAAUUGUCCCCACCUGGUUGAUUGUUUUGCUGAUGCCUGCUAGCUCAGUGACCUGCGCUGUUGGCUGAUUGCCUUUGGUCUCCCAAAGAGGGAGAAGUUAGGCAUCAGCUCCUGAAGAGCUUUUGUUGUACUUAGUGGAACUUGGAGUAAUUGUGAUUUCUGUGAUGAGGGGCUGAUUCUUCUUGCUUCACUACUGAUGAUGUUACAAGUUCCUCACUGGUAAUGUAUAUCAUAUAAUCUCUGAUAUGUCAUAGAUUGUAUGAUGUGAAAGUAUAUAGUCCAUAGUACUGUGUACAUAUCCUGCAUCCUCUGUUAGAUGCCCUCUGACUCAGCAUAUUUGGUUUAAAAAAAAGUAUUAUAACCUUUUCUUUUGUAUCUUCUUAUCCUUGUAUCUUCUACCUCUGUUGCGGACUUUGUGCUUUGUCUUUGAUUCUGAUAAGCAUCGCCUGGCCUCUCUCAUAGUCAGGAGACAGUUUAGUGCAGAGCUGGUGCUAGACCAGCUCCUAUAAUGGUGGGAAUAACCCUGUACUGACUUUUCAAAGAGUUCAGGCACAGAGCAUACAGUUUAUGAGCCCCUGGUUUUGAACUUUUUUACGACGAAACUUUAAUCAGGUAACAGGCUGGCCUUUUUCCACAGCAAUAAAGUGCAUACGAACAGGCAUUGCAAUAAAUAGUGCAAAAGCAAAUCUGGCAAAUCUCCCGCAAGAGAAGUCUACCGUUUAUUCUCUACCACUUCUCCACAGGCUGUUGCAGAGGCCGGGGAGGCUGAGGGAUUCACAAGCAGCAGCUAUAGGUUUCAGACACCGUGCUUGGGUUUCCUGGGCUAUUGAUAACAGCUGUUUGGUCACAGAUCUCUGGGUCACGAUGUACUGGGAUUUUCUGAUGGUUGUGACCUUGGGAGGGAAUUAGACUGGAUGUAAUGUUUCCAAGAAUUGGAGAUGCCUGUGCCAUUGACCUGGUACGUGUUGCUGGAUCAAUUACCAGCACUGGCAGGAUUUCACUUUAGGGGAUUCUUGAUGCUACAUUGCAGUCUUGUUAUUGGUAGAUUGUUAAUCAGCUGUAAUGCAGAGCCAGAUAUUUGCAGGGAGGAAGGACCUUACAUAGAUGCUUUCUGCAGUGUGAGUUCCCUGUGUGCAGUGCUGUUGUGAUACGUACCCUGGUGCUGUCUGUCACUUCCAUCUUCAGAAAAUUGUUAGCAGUUUGUAUGGAAUCCCUGUGCACACGAGGGUCUGCUGUGUGGCACUGCAUGGUGCUCCUGAGCACCCAGUGGCAAUGGAAAUUAUGUACACAGAGAUGUCGUAGCUCUUUUUUGUAAUGCGGAGGUGAAUUGUGGUGUGGGGACUCAGUACUUCUGCAUGUGAGCUGCUGUGGCCUAGGCCCGUCCCCAAACAUUUUUGCGGGUGGGUGUGGAUUUGCAGGCAGGGGUUCCUUGUGACCCAGGCAGCCCCAGGGCUAGAUCUAGGCUGUGGUCAGAUGGUGGGGACAGUCAUUAUGCUGAGAUACUUUUAACUCGUGACCUCAUGGCUUCUGAAUGUGCUCCUUUGCAGAGGACAAGAGAUACACCAUGACCCUGCUCCAUCAACCACGUGUUUUGGCCCGAAAGAGCAGAGGUGUGAUCUUUCAGCUUUGGGGUCACUUCUCUAAUUUUCUUUUCAGCCCGUGUCACAGCACAGCACGGUGUUUUUCACAGGACGGUCAAACUGAUGCACUGUUUGUGUUUGCUCUUGCUUGCAUGGUGGCUGCAGACACCAGAAAACUUUUCUCUGCAGAAAUGUAGCCCCCCUAAUCCAGGCUGUCUGCUAUUUACUUCCUUUGUAAUUGACUGCCGAAGCACUGUGUUUAAUUCAAGUGCUUGUAGAGUUUUCCUCAAAAUGCUUAUGCAGUAUUAAGCCAGUCAGGAGUUACAAAUGUAAACAUGUUUACACAAAAACGAGGAAUGCAUGAAGGCUGGCAGCGCUUAAGCAGCCAAAAGCAGCGUGAUUAUAUGCUGGAGGGACACUGAGAAUGUGAGUUGCCGGCGUAUGCGUCCAGAAGUAAAUCCUGACAAGAAGCGCUCGCAGCCUCUGCCUGCCAGUGCGUGCUGGGGCUGCUGACACUGCAUGGCAGGAGAGAGAAUCUGGGGGCCUCUGGGAAUGGUGGGAGGGCCCUGAGGGAAAACGUGGAACUCUGAAGAGGAGCGCAGGCUCUCUCUGCUGGGUCUUUGUUUUAGAUUUUCCCGGGUAGCGGCGGUACGGGCAGCAAUUGGGAGAGCUGCGAAGGUGCUGUUUCAUAACUGAAAGUUGGGCGUCCUGCCUGAGCUGGCGUAUUUGGAGCUGCGAGCGCCGGCACAUUGUUUACUUCCUCCGUACGUUCUGGGACAUUCAGUCCUUAGGAGCAUGAUACGCUUGCAUAAACACUGCCGCCAGAUUUAUCUCUCAAUCCUAUCUUUCCUUUCCAGUCUUGGAAAGCGAUUAAUCUGCAGCACACAUUUUGUUCUUUGAUUGCGGGGCGUUAUUCUGUAAUCAUUUACAGUUUUGUAGAGCCAUAGUGCUGGAGUAUUCCUGCCGUGCCUCAGCUGCUGUUGGCUGCAGCUUUGGCUUUUGGAGCGGGGAGUUCUGCCGUGCGACUCUGUGCAGUGUGGAAGUCAUUUUCUUUCACAUUGUGUGCUUUCUACACGCUUAAAUAAUUCAAAUGCACGUAUUUGAAGUGCAGAUAAGUGUCUCUACAGCAGCACACGCUGCGGGUUGGUUUGUAGGUUGGAAAACCACGUAUCAGAGUGCUGACUGCUAGCUGAGGUUUCCCUAUGCAUUUGUGGAGGGUGGAGGAGUUUAAAUGACUUAAUUUCCCAUGCUGCAUGUCACAUACUGAGGCUUACUCCAGGUAAAAACUGUCAGCCUGUGUGUUAUAAGGAGCUGUAUGUACCACUUAGCGUCUGAUGGAACAAGUGAAGAGGUGGAAAAGUGAACUGGGAAAUCUGUCCUAUCUCCGUUGCAUCAAGGCUUUUCUGUGCACUCUUUGCAAUUUUUGUUUGCUUUCCAUGUUUUCUAGUGUGUGGCAUAUAAUAAGGUAGGAACAAGUUAGGAGAAGUAACAAGAAUGAGCCUUUCCUGUUAGUCUGAUCUUGCAGGGCAGAGGAGGGGGAUUUGCUCUGGCUACAGAUCUAGCGGUUAUUUCGUAUGGGCAGAUGCCAAAGGACUCUCCACAGCCUGACCUCUCCAGCAGCAUGCUGCAGAGAAAGAAGCAGUAGCACCGUGUUGUUCCUAUCACCCCCCAACCCUGAUUUACUGACACACAGAGGUGUCUAGAGCAUCCAGUCACCAAUUCCACUUUUGUCUCCAGCAUUUCUCCUGUUCAGUUACAUUGCUGCUUCUGCAAAGUUAAAAAGGGAGGUCCUACCAGAAGCAUGAGGCUGCAGGGCUGUGUCCAGAAAACAGCAAUAUUCUGAGGGCUAGGAGGGGUAGUUCUUGGCCCUCCAAAAGUGUCAUAGCUAAUGUUGUGAUCAUGCAAAAACAACAGGAAGAAAAUAAGUUUGGGGCUUGAAUGCAGUUAUGGAAAGACGCAUGUGCUUGACAGCAAGAUCUUUUUGAGUGGAACAGGUACUUCUGAGGGAGGUUUUGGAUGAGGACCAGAGUCUGGGAAUGUCUGUCUGAACAUCCUGCUUGGCUGAGGGCAACAGAGGGCUGCUUCUUGAAGCUGAUUUGAAAGCUUGCUGUGGCCGAGGCAGAGGUGUGUCUCUUCCUCUGGAGGGGUCAGAUCUCCAGAACAGACAAGGCCAGUGCAGGACCCUGUAAUUGAGACAGUAAUUCCAGCAGGCUGGAACCAACAAAAGUGAGUGAGAGGUGCUCCCCUCCACCACCUUACCCACUGUUGAUUUUCACUCUUAUUUUCCUUAAACCAUGAAAGGGCAAAGGUAAUUUCCUGUUUGAAAUUGUAACUCACAAGUAAAACUAAACUUAACAUUUUAAAUUUCUAACUAGGCAAAAAUUUAAUUUCUUUAUUUUGUGCUAGAAGUUGGUUCUGGAUAUGUUUUUGAAAGUGUCUCCUCUGCAGUGUAGAGUGGGGCUGGAGGAGAGGAAAUGAAAUCAGAAACGGAGGAAAGUUAUGUUAAUCAUAAAUAGCUGCGGUGGGAAGGUAGAUGUUUAUAUGUGCAAUAGUACAGUACCUACUGUGUGUAUUCUGGGAGAACCUGAGAAUAGCAGCUGCGUUGAAAUACUUGACAGCAAAGUCAAAUAUAGUCUAAGUUUAAAA